rnacentral:rRNA from 1 species
UACGUAUGGAGCAAGCGUUAUCCGGAUUUACUGGGUGUAAAGGGAGCGUAGGCGGUAAGGCAAGUCUGAUGUGAAAGGCCGGGGCUCAACCCUGGGACUGCAUUGGAAACUGUCUGGCUAGAGUGCAGGAGAGGUAAGUGGAAUUCCUAGUGUAGCGGUGAAAUGCAUAGAUAUUAGGAGGAACACCAGUGGCGAAGGCGGCUUACUGGACUGUAACUGACACUGAGGCUCGAAAGCGUGGGGAGCAAACAGG